rnacentral:rRNA from 1 species
AGAAUCAACGCUGGCGGCGUGCCUAACACAUGCAAGUCGAGCGGAAAGGCCCUUCGGGGUACUCGAGCGGCGAACGGGUGAGUAACACGUGAGCAAUCUGCCCUUAGCUUCGGGAUAGCUCCGGGAAACCGGAUUAAUACCGGAUAUGACUAUGGCUGACAUCAGCCACGGUGGAAAGUUUUUCGGCUAGGGAUGAGCUCGCGGCCUAUCAGCUAGUUGGUGGGGUAACGGCCUACCAAGGCGACGACGGGUAGCCC